rnacentral:lncRNA from 1 species
AGUAGCUCCCAAUUAAAAAUCAGUCGGUCGCAUCUGCCCAACUUACCUUAGACACCAAAUUAUUGAACCAGAACUAAUUGGGUUAGCCUACAAUCCAGGCUCUAACCACUGAGCCAAAUUAGGUCUUAACUUGAUCGAGUCACAUAUGAAUAUGAUUCGACCUUGACCUAGACUUAAUCCUAUUAGGCUGGUCAAUUAUUAGCUUUCAUGAUCCCACCUAACCAACUUUUGAUUCGAUUUGAUCAACCGCU